GCAUAUCAAUAAGCGGAGGAAAAGAACCAACAGGGAUUGCCUCAGUAACGGCGAGUGAAGCGGCAACAGCUCAAAUUUGAAAUCUGGCCUUCUACGGGGUCCGAGUUGUAAUUUGUAGAGGAUGCUUCGGUGUUGGCCCCGGCCUAAGUUCCUUGGAACAGGACGUCGCAGAGGGUGAGAAUCCCGUACGCGGCCGGUGUCCCUCGCCAUGUGAAGCUCCUUCGACGAGUCGAGUUGUUUGGGAAUGCAGCUCUAAAUGGGAGGUAAAUUUCUUCUAAAGCUAAAUACCGGCCAGAGACCGAUAGCGCACAAGUAGAGUGAUCGAAAGAUGAAAAGCACUUUGGAAAGAGAGUCAAAAAGUACGUGAAAUUGUUGAAAGGGAAGCGCUUGCAACCAGACCUGCCCGCGGUCGCUCAUCCAGGCUCCUGCCUGGUGCACUCUUCCGCGGUCAGGCCAGCAUCGGUUCGGGCGGUCGGACAAAGACGGUGGGAAUGUGGCUCCUCUCGGGGAGUGUUAUAGCCCGCCGUGCAAUGCGGCCAGUCCGGACCGAGGUCCGCGCUUCGGCUAGGAUGCUGGCGUAAUGGUUGUAAGCGGCCCGUCUUGAAACACGGACCAAGGAGUCUAACAUCUGUGCGAGUGUUUGGGUGUCAAGCCCGGACGCGUAAUGAAAGUGAACGGAGGCGGGAACCCUAGGGUGCACCGUCGACCGAUCCUGAUGUCUUCGGAUGGAUUUGAGUAAGAGCAUAGCUGUUGGGACCCGAAAGAUGGUGAACUAUGCCUGAAUAGGGUGAAGCCAGAGGAAACUCUGGUGGAGGCUCGCAGCGGUUCUGACGUGCAAAUCGAUCGUCAAAUUUGGGCAUAGGGGCGAAAGUAGGUUUAAAUAUUCACUGUGCUAUUAGAAUUCAAUGCUAACAAUUCUUCUAGGACUAAUCGAACUAUCUAGUAGCUGGUUCCUGCGA
rnacentral:rRNA from 1 species